CACGUAGGGCGCGAGCGUUGUCCGGAAUUAUUGGGCGUAAAGAGCUCGUAGGCGGCCUGUUGCGUCCGCUGUGAAAGCCCGGGGCUUAACCCCCGGGUCGGCAGUGGAUACGGGCAGGCUAGAGGUAGGUAGGGGAGAAUGGAAUUCCCGGUGUAGCGGUGAAAUGCGCAGAUAUCGGGAGGAACACCGGUGGCGAAGGCGGUUCUCUGGGCCUUACCUGACGCUGAGGAGCGAAAGCGUGGGGAGCAAACAGG
rnacentral:rRNA from 1 species